UGGGGAAUUUUGGACAAUGGGCGAAAGCCUGAUCCAGCAAUGCCGCGUGUGAUGAAGAGCCUUCGGGUUGUAAAGCACUUUUGUCCGGAAAGAAAUCCUUGGCUCUAAUACAGUCGGGGGAUGACGGUACCGGAAGAAUAAGCACCGGCUAACUACGUGCCAGCAGCCGCGGUAAUACGUAGGGUGCAAGCGUUAAUCGGAAUUACUGGGCGUAAAGCGUGCGCAGGCGGUUUGCUAAGACCGAUGUGAAAUCCCCGGGCUCAACCUGGGAACUGCAUUGGUGACUGGCAGGCUAGAGUAUGGCAGAGGGGGGUAGAAUUCCACGUGUAGCAGUGAAAUGCGUAGAGAUGUGGAGGAAUACCGAUGGCGAAGGCAGCCCCCUGGGCCAAUACUGACGCUCAUGCACGAAAGCGUGGGGAGCAAACAGGAUUAGAUACCCUGGUAGUCCACGCCCUAAACGAUGUCAACUAGUUGUUGGGGAUUCAUUUCCUUAGUAACGUAGCUAACGCGUGAAGUUGACCGCCUGGGGAGUACGGUCGCAAGAUUAAAACUCAAAUGAAUUGACGGGGUCAUAGCUGUUUCCU
rnacentral:rRNA from 1 species